CCCCACAAUCCUUCGCGGUGGCCCAAGAUGGCCGCGCCCAGUGGCCCCCUGAGCGCUUUGGAGAGCAGCAGCAGCAGCAGCAGCAGCGAUGAGGAGGAGUUGGCACGGUGCCGCGAGGCAGCGAUGCCGGCCUGGGGCUUGGAGCAGCGCCCGAGGGGACCGGAGAAGCCAAGAGCCGAUGCCGCAAAUAAUCAGUUGCCAGCCAGCCAGCCAAGCCUCAGGCGGAAAGCGGACGAACAUGAACAAGAUGGCAAUGAGCUUCAGACCACCCCUGAAUUCCGAGCCCACGUAGCCAAGAAACUGGGAGCCCUGCUGGACAGCUCAAUUACCAUCUCAGAAGUAGUGAAGGAGCCGAAAAAGACUGAAAUACAGAAAGUCCCCCCGGAGGAUGAUGGCUUCCGCCUUUUCUUCACAUCCAUCCCCGGAGACUCCGACAAGAAAGCUGCUCCCCAGCCCAGCCGAAAGCGCUUCCCUUCCGGCUCCAGAACACUUAGAAGGCAAGGACUCCAUUCACCGAUCCGCGGAUGCCCGGGACCAACCUACUCCCCUCCCCCAGAGUGCCUUGCGCGGAACAGCUUCCAGGAUCUCUGCUGGUCCCCAGGGAGCACUUUGACCUCUGCUCCCCCCUCAAGUGCUGUGGAUCGAGCCUCCCCCCCACCCACCAUUCCACUAAAGGGGCUGCUGAUCAACAGGCCCCACCCAGCCAGGGACGAAGGAACAACGAGCAGAAAGGGCUGCCCUUCCCCACCAUCGGGAGAUAAAGCUAAAUUGAGGAGCUGUUCGCCUUCUAGAGAAUGACACAGGACCUACUUUGUCACUGACCGCACUCCGACCCCCACCCCUGGCUGGCCUCAGGCCACCUUAGCCUUUCUUGACGAGCUCUACCGAGUUGCAACAUCAUCCGAAGUUAUGAAGCUCCGACAUUGAAAAUGCGAACUACCUAGAGCUAGCAGUUUUCAAGGUGUCCGGCAGGUGUCGCUGUGGACCUCUCAAAAAGCUUCUGAACUGGUCUGCGGUCCCCUGGGGCACCUGCGCGCAGGCUGAGACCUGCCCACCUAAUAACGGAGCGACGUGGACACGAUGAGGAGACAGGCCCAGAGAGGUUAAGCAACUUGCCCAAGGUCUCCCAGCUAGAAGUGACAGCUGAAAUUGGGGUCCAGGAAGCCUGGCUCUGGGCCCCAGGAUGAAAUGGCCUCAGGGUGACGAAACUACCGUGUCCUUCGGGAGCCACGAACAUUGACCCUUGGCUUCUUUGGAGAAGAGUCGACCAAUCAGCUGAGCAAGUCCAAAAAGCAGCUGAGGGGUGGAAAGCAGGUGCAGGUGAGAGUCCUCGCCCUACAAGUUUUCCCAGAUUGGCCCCCAUGCACCUGAAUUUGGGGGACCAGGAAGUGCCGAUGCCCUGGCAUCGCUGAUGGACAAAUGUCAGUUAGUCACAGCCUCAAUACAGGACAUGGGCAAUUCCAGAAAGCCGUAGCUUCUGGACUCCACCCACUGAAAACGGAGCCCCUGUGAGGAGAAGGGACAUGAAGGAACUGCUCCAUCAAACUCAAGCAGGUGUCCCCGGGGUCUGGCAUUGGAGUCACAUCCAUUCACAUGCCUCGGUGGGCCUCACGCUUCGCGAGUCAUUGAUGAUCCAGGACAAAUAAACCAAAAGCCUGUGAUUCUGUUUCUGGGUGGAUGGAGACAAAGGAGCGUGGGAACACUGUUUUUUUCGGGGGGGGGGACCCAAGAACUGGAGGACAAGGUGGGAUGAAGUCUUCUCUUUUGUGCUGUUUCAUUUUUACGGCACCUUGGCAGGAUCCAGCUGGCAUUCUCAAAUUAGAUGAUGAGACUUUCCGUAAAGGGGCUCUUUCCCAAAGUGGGAGAUGUAGAAAAACCCGAGGGACGGAGUAUAUGGGUGGGGGCUGGGGCUGGGGCUGGUCGGCAGCCUGGACACGUGAGGGGUGGGAAUGGCCUUCAGUGCUUUGGAAAGGGCUGUCCUGAGAGGCCGGAACCAGGUGACUCCAAGCCAGGAGGUGGGAGGGCAGUAAAUACCUCCACCUCCACUCCAGUGUGGUCUCCCCACCUGCCCCAGGGUCUCCCCACCUGCCCCAUGCAACCACCAGGGACAGGAAGACUCCCUGGGACACAGAGCGGAGUGGAGACCGGAGAUCACCGCUGCAGGGCAAACCAGACCACCACA